AUUGGAUAGGGACUCCACCGGCGUCGGCCUGCGCGAGGAUUGGUGAAGAACUCCGUUGCCGCUGCGUGCCGUGCUUCUGGAUCGAGCGCUGCCUGACCAAGGGAUAAGAGUAUAAGGUAAAACUAGCCACCAUGCUCCUAUGCGGGCUGCAUCUCCACAUCUCCCGUUUCAUUAUUUCACCAUUGCUGCCUCUUCUCCUCUUCGUUGCUCUGCUUCUUCCCCUGAUUCCUCUUUUUCAUUUUGUUUCUCUUUGUGGUGCCGCCGGGGAUGAGAGGAGCAGCUGCUGAAGCAGGCGCGGCGUUGGUGCACUGCUGGCGAAGCGGUCGUCGACGGUGCCGUCGACGUCAUCCUUGGCAGAAGGUUGGUGCUUCCUCUCCUUCUCACUGCAGCUACCUAUGCAUGUAUUAUUCUAGGAUUUUGCAAGUUAAAUACUCAUGUGUGCUGAACUGAAAAGUUCUCUAUGCAACAUCUAUUGCAGGUUGGUGUUUCUUACCUAUGCCUCUAUUAUUCUAGGAUUUUGAAAGUUAAUUGCUCAUGUGUGCUGAAUUGAAAAGCUCAAUGAAAGGCACUUAUUUCUAUGCACAAAUGCUUUUGUUGCUAUAAGAAUCUGUAGAUAAGUUUCUGUAGAUGCUUAUACACAUAUAAUUUGUCCGAAUUCCUCUUCCAUAUCGAAUCCUAUAAAAAUAUUAAAGGAGGUUGUACUAUGUUGGACAUAAUAUAAAGCCUCCUAGAAUGGUAGUCACAACGAAGGCCUCGAGCGCACGGUAACACGCGAGGGAAAAAAGAGCACCGCACCGCGCCGCGCGUGGGGUGCAGCGCACCACGCGAAGUAAAAAAACACCGCACCGCCGAGGUAGAAAACGGCAUCGAACCCUAGCCCCAAUCCACAGCCCCGCGCCCCUCGCCCCUCCCUCCCUCUUCCGCCGCCACUCCCUCCUCCACCUCCUCCUCCUGCGCCCUAGGAGCCCCGCCGCCGACUGCUACUCCUCCACCGCGUCGCCUCUUCCUCCUCCUCGCUUUCCCAUCGCUCGGGCGCAGGCUGCCGUGACCAAGCGCUUCGCGGGCGAACCCGUCUCCACCGCCAGCUCUGGGUUCACGCGGGACGGGCUCCCCUGCCUGGCCGGCCUCGACGAGCAUGGCCUCGAUCCGGCCUCAGCCUGAGGACCUCGAGCCGAGGAGUGCGGCCUCGAUCGGGACUCGGCAUCUGGGGCGACGGCAAAGGAGGAGGGGAAAGGAGGGGAGCAGCAGCAAACAUCUGGUGCGGCGGUGGCUGGACUCCAUGAGCUGGCUGGCGACGGCGGCGGUGCUGGAUUCGAUCUGCAGGAGAGAGAGGGAGGCGUGGCUUCGAAUUGGAGAGGGACUCCACCGGCGUCGGCCUGCGCGAGGAUUGGUGAAGAACUCCGUUGCCGCUGCGUGCCGUGCUUCUGGAUCGAGCGCUGCCUGACCAAGGGAUAAGAGUAUAAGCUGCUGAAGCAGGCGCGGCGUUGGUGCACUGCUGGCGAAGCGGUCGUCGACGGUGCCGUCGACGUCAUCCUUGGCAGAAGGUUGGUGCUUCCUCUCCUUCUCACUGCAGCUACCUAUGCAUGUAUUAUUCUAGGAUUUUGCAAGUUAAAUACUCAUGUGUGCUGAACUGAAAAGUUCUCUAUGCAACAUCUAUUGCAGCUUCAUCGGCGCCAGCUUCAUCACCAAGUGGACGGGCUCCGGAAGGCAGCCUCCUCCUAAGGCGCCAGGACCGUUGCUGACCAUAUGAUUGGUAGCCUUGGACAGAAGAGGGCCAACAACAAACAGAAGGAACCACUGUCCUGUCCAGAACAUGGAUCAGCUUUGGUGGCAUCCGAUGCUGCCAGGCCACGGGGUUAGAGCAGAGGAAGCUGACAUGGUGUUCGACAUUCAGAUGGUCAUUGUGAUCGACCAGAUGCGGCGCCUCAUGUCACCCCGAGCCUCCAGGGCUUGUUAGCGGUGCUCAUAAAAUUGACAAUUUCACCGGGUUGCCGCCAUCAGGUGCCGCGCGCUGUGAUUCCGGAUCGGCCGUAGGUCGCGUCCAAGAGAGCUGGAGUGGCUGCUGCAGUGAGGGCAUCAGGGGAACCCAUCCUGCUCGACCCCCCACUCUUGGCGGCUAUCUGUAGAGGAGUAGAGAUCGAGGAUGGCUCCCAGUUCGUCGAGGAGACGCCCGACACAUAGGGUUAGCGAGGAGGAGGCUUCCUUCCAUGACGAUGCGCAGAGGAGAAGACAAGAGGAUAUGUGCUGCUAGAUCUGACAUGGAGGUGCUAUUCAAUCCAUCAGUUGCUAGCGGCCUGCUGUGAUUAAGGAGGCCGUGUUAUUUUGGUGUGCGAGAGAGAUCUUGCAGGCUGGCAGAUGCUUUGAACAUGAGCAUGUGGGCAAUUUGGAUUUGUCUGAAGAAGAGACAAAGAAAACAAUCUCAACAUGCUGGUUGUGCUAGAUUUCUCAAGCAUUGGCAAGGCUACGGUAACGGGGAGUGUCAGCAACUACAAUUAAUUCAUUUAUCCAUGGAUUUGGGAUAACAAAAAGAGGUCUCAAGAAAGAGAAAAUAACUUGUGGUUCAAGCAGCAAGAAGAUAGCCAGCCUAAAUGAAUCAAAACAAGAACAAGCGUCGGUAAUUUACAAAUGAGGAAGUGUAGCUGGUGAUGUAAUUACUUUCAAUAGCGCUUCAGCUCUGCAAUCGACAGUUUGACCUCAUGCUAGGGCAGCCUCAGCCAGUUGCCUCUUCUAUUAAAGGGUCCCUCAGCUACUUAUGUUUUGCUAGACAAUGAGGAACCCUUUCUUUUUCCACAAGGGGCAGUAGCUGUGCCAUUCGAUUUGGAGGACAAAGAGUUGAUCACAAAGGGGUAUCAUUCAGGAUAUAUACACAAAAGAGUAUAGAACCAAAUUAUAUGAUGUAAUUGACUACUAUCUAUUAACUUCUCCUGUAGACAAUGUUCACAAGUUCAUGUAUUAAGUACAUUUUAUUGUGUCACUUGUGUUUA